rnacentral:sRNA from 1 species
GCUUCGUGAGCCUGUGACGGGGAGAGGAAGUGGACGUGGGAGUCGAUACCACCCGCGGUCAGGAUCUUGCCUUCGCCCGCGAUGACGUCGGUGGACGGUCCGAUCACCAGGUCGGGGUGGACUCCGUCGGCGAUGUCCGGGUUCCCCGACCGUCCGAUGCCGACGAUCCGUCCGUCUUUGAUUCCGACAUCUGCGCGCUCGAUUCCCCACCAGUCGAGCACGAUGACGUUGGUGAUGACGGUGUCGAGCGCACCCUCGCUGCUCGGGACCGUCGACUGCGCCAUCGACUCGCGGAU